GGAUGCGAUCAUACAAGCACUAAAGCACCGGAUCCCAUCAGAACUCUGAAGUUAAGCGUGCUUGGGCGAGAGUAGUACUAGGAUGGGUGACCUCCAGGGAAGUCCUCGUGUUACAUUCC
rnacentral:rRNA from 1 species